rnacentral:pre_miRNA from 1 species
AGAAUAUAAGAAACUGUCUCUUAACUUUUAACUAAAAAAGUUAAGAACCGGCUCUUAAAACUCUUAUUUAAGAAUCGGUUCUUAACUUUUUUAGUUAAGAGUUAAGAGACGGGUUCUUAUAUUCC